GCAUCCGAUACGGUCGAGCUAGAGUUNGGUAGGGGAGACUGGAAUUCCUGGUGUAGCGGUGGAAUGCGCAGAUAUCAAGAGGAACACCGAUGGCGAAGGCAGGUNUCUGGGCCAAUACUGACACUGAGGAGCGAAAGCGUGGGGAGCGAACAGGAUUAGAUACCCUGGUAGUCCACGCCGUAAACGGUGGGCGCUAGUUGUGCGAACCUUCCACGGUUUGUGCGACGCAGCUAACGCAUUAAGCGCCCCGCCUGGGGAGUACGAUCGCAAGAUUAAAACUCAAAGGAAUUGACGGGGCCCCGCACAAGCAGCGGAGCAUGCGGCUUAAUUNGACGCUACGCGAAGAACCUUACCAAGGCUUGACAUAUACAGGAAUACGGCAGAGAUGUCGUAGCCGCAAGGUCUGUAUACAGGUGGUGCAUGGUUGUCGUCAGCUCGUGUCGUGAGAUGUUGGGUUAAGUCCCGCAACGAGCGCAACCCUCGUUCUGUGUUGCCAGCAUUUAGUUGGGGACUCACAGGAGACUGCCGGGGUUAACUCGGAGGAAGGUGGGGAUGACGUCAAAUCAUCAUGCCCCUUAUGUCUUGGGCUGCACGCAUGCUACAAUGGCUGGUACAAACGGCUGCAAUACCGCAAGGUGGAGCGAAUCCGAGAAAGCCAGUCUCAGUUCGGAUUGGGGUCUGCAACUCGACCCCAUGAAGUCGGAGUUGCUAGUAAUCGUAGAUCAGCAACGCUACGGUGAAUACGUUCCCGGGGCUUGUACACACCGCCCGUCACAUCACGAAAGUCGGUAACACCCAAAGUCAGUGGCCCAACCGCAAGGAGGGAGCUGCCAAAGGUGGGAUCGGUGAUUGGGAUGAAGUCGU
rnacentral:rRNA from 1 species